CUCCAUAGCAGCAGCAUUACACAGAAGUAGAGUCACAAGAAGCUGAUGUUGCUUCUGAACAACAGGAAGUAUUGUAGCUGAAAAAGAUGGAAAAGCAGAAAAGUUGAUAUAUUGGUAAAGAUUCAUCCUAAUAAUUUUCAGCAUUUACAAUUAGCCCAUGAACCAUACAUCCACCCAUUUCAGAUAUACAUUGUCCUAAGAAAAUGCUUCCUGAGCCGAGGGUCUAAUGAAAACAGGCUCUAUAUCCUCACAAAUUAGGGGCAAGGUCUGCACACACACUAUGCUCUCAUAUACCAUGGGUGGGACAAGACUGGGUAUGUUGUUGUUGUAGUAGUAUUGUCCUAAAAAAAAUGACCAAUUCUCUUUUACCCUCCAAUGAGCAAAUGACAUAGAUUAAUACAAAAUGAAAUGAAUGAAAAAGAAGAUACCAGCUUGUUUUUUCUCAGAGGGGGUGCCACUUCGUUGAAGGAUCUCAAGAUCGACGAGACCCAAAGACAUGAGGCCCAAUGUCAAACCGGACAUAAUGCCGGCGAAGAGUACUAAGAAACAAGAGAUACCAGCGUAGAGGAACCAUGACACCGUCCCAAAUGCUAUUUCUGCCCCCAGGCCAGGGACGGGGCCGUUCGAAUGACACCUCGUUGCCAUUCGAACAACUGCCGCCGCAUUAAACAGGUGCAUUUUUUAUUUCUCUUUUUCCUCCGCCAACGUCCUAACUGUGUCGCUCUGUCUCCUCCUUGUACAAUUUGUACUACUUUUUUGGAUCACGGUAACCUCGUGAAUAGUCGGAGGAGAAGGUCAAAUC
rnacentral:lncRNA from 1 species